GAUCUCUAUCGGACUGAGUCAACCCCCUACGAUUGAAAAAGUUUUGUUUUGAGAUUGAUAUAUUGAUGACGUCCUCCUUAUUUGGAAGGGUACCCUUGAAGAACUGGGGGUACUAAUGAAUGGAUUCAACCACAACAAAAUAAAUAUCAAAGUCAUAUUUGAAGCAGGACACCAAAUUGAAGGUACGCUGACAUAUACUGGUGAUGGGUCCCGAGAUGUGAUAUGAUGCCUUAGGCUGAGGCUCCACUGCGAAGUUGGAUCCAAGUCAAUAUUUUGAACAAGAAACUGUCAACCGAAACAAAUGCAGGCGCAUCAAAGCAAAA